AUACGUAGGGAGCGAGCGUUGUCCGGAUUUACUGGGUGUAAAGGGUGCGUAGGCGGCUCUGCAAGUCAGGUGUGAAAUCCAUCGGCUUAACUGAUGGACUGCAUUUGAAACUGUGGGGCUUGAGUGGAGUAGAGGCAGACGGAAUUCCCGGUGUAGCGGUGAAAUGCGUAGAGAUCGGGAAGAACACCAGUGGCGAAGGCGGUCUGCUGGGCUCUAACUGACGCUGAGGCACGAAAGCAGGGGUAGCAAACAGGAGUAGAGACCCUGGUAGUCCAUGCCGUAAACGAUGAUUACUAGGUGUGGGGAGUCUGACCCUCUCCGUGCCGGAGUUAACACAAUAAGUAAUCCACCUGGGAAGUACGACCGCAAGGUUAAA
rnacentral:rRNA from 1 species